GUGAUCUUCUUGUAGUUGAGCUGCCUGGACCUCCACAGCGCCUGCACCGCCUCAGAGGAGUGCAUGAGGAGCACAGAGACUUGCACCUCCCCAGGCCAGAGCAGGGUGAAGCGGACACGGUAGGAGCCAUUGCGGAGUACUGGGCUUGGGGAUGCUCCAGACUGGCCGUGCUCUGAGCAGGACUGGAGGUGUUCUGAAUAGACUUCCAGACAGGCGACGGAGGGAGAUCCCACUGGAGGGAGAGCAUCACAUCAUCUACAGUCAUCUCUUCAUGUGGAACCCUUGCGGUGCUUGAGAAUCGGUGGAAGAUGAAGCUGCUUGUUAAGUUUCUCUACAUUUGGAAAAAUAAUGAAAAAUUCAUUGUUUAUCCCUUUCAUGAUCGUUGCCAGUUUCUGUUAUUUUGCAGUACAGGUAAGAGUUACAGCGAGUAACUCUGCCAGGCUGGCUUCUUCAGAGACACCAAAAAGGUUUUGUGUUAAAUUAGCCAUGGCAGUGAUGCCAUUUUCAGUGGGACAAAAGAGAAACUAAGCAGAAAUAGGCUGUACACAGCAGCAGCAACAAUAAUAAUGAUAACUCUGCACAAAUAGUAUAGUAUCAUGCUAUUACUUCAAAUUAAGUCUUAGUUACAUACUAAUUUCAUGUUAAUUUGUCAUUAAUGAAUGGUGAUGCGUGUUUUGUCUCAAGCAUUUUCUAUAUCUUACUAUAUUUGUUAAAUUUGAAAACCCUUUUGAAAUACUGAAGGAUCUACUGAAGCAACAAGUCAGGAAUAACACAAGUUAAAUACUCAUCUCAUGUUUGUUCACCAAUAAUAAAGCACGAUGCAUCUUUUA